GAGCCAAAUGAGUAUUCGGGAAACGUUGCUCUUAUAGGGUUUGCUAUCAGAGUUAGUAUGGCCUCCAUCACGUGGCUUCGCAAACUUCCAUCGGUGGGCGACAUCUCCCUGUCAACGACUGGCUACCGGCAGCCCUUCUCCUCCGGCGGACGAAACAAACAUGGAGAAAUCUCGGGACAUGGAAAACUUGAUAGAUUAGAAAUCAUGCUGUUUGUGCAGGAUGGAGAAGCUGCUUUUUGAGGCACCACCAGGAUACUAUUCAUUAUGUUAUAUAACCACAUCAAUCCAAUGGAAGUUUAUUAUACAAUGAGAAGUUCUGAAACUAUUAAGUAGUGCAAAGCUGGGCAACAUCAGAUCUGUGCUAUUUUUAACGGAAGGCAUUGCAAGCCGAAUAAGUUUGCCCAAAUUGCUACCUGGAGGAAUUAGAAAGUGGACACAACAUGAACCACUAACCACAGAGUGCAGCUAUUGGAGCACGUGGCUCAUCAGGAACUUUGUUGAGUUACCAUAUUGAGCAAUGAUAACUUGGGCAUCUCAAACAAGAGAGAGAGAAGAAAGGGCAAGAAUAUUGGAAACUAGUGUUGAUGAGGAAAUUUUGGUUUGCCGGUCGUCAAAAGAAUCCUGCAAUCGCAUAGGCACUUCUAGACGUGUGGCAUGUCUACAUAGAUAUGACCGUUAAGAAAAGUGGUAAAUUGUUCCUCAUGCUAUGAUAGAGGACGUCAUCUAAUCGUUGGUCAUCGAGGAUGAGAGACAGCAGGGACAUCUGGGAAACCUUUGAGCACCUCACCUAACCGCACAAGUCGUCAAAUUCAAUCGGAAAUUUAGCUACGGGGAUAUUUUCUUUACUGCAACAAUGAAAAAUUGUACUAGCUUUUUGGAUUAUUUAUUGGACAAAUUUUUGAAAAAAAAUCAUAACUUUGUGAUUU